GUUACGUUUAUUGAACACAACUGAAAUUUAGUGUGGAAAAGUGAAGCAAAUACAACAGCAUUUAUACAGUGUAUGAAAGGGCAUCUUUUAACCCCCAGGCAGUGGGGAUACACCUGGCUUCACCAAAAAGCUUGUAUGCCGUUUAGUUUUAAACCGUAUGUUAAUACCAUAACCAAGGAUUUGGCAAAGAUUUAUUUUUUUCCUAUCUCCAGCCUUUUAAAGCAGACAGAAUAGUUUAGAAUGCAGCUGAUACUAAGAGCACAAAAAACUGAACCAGACUAAAUUCCGCAA
rnacentral:lncRNA from 1 species